GAUGAACGCUAGCGGCAGGCUUAACACAUGCAAGUCGAGGGGCAGCAUAAUGAAGUAGCAAUACUGAUUUGAUGGCGACCGGCGCACGGGUGCGUAACGCGUAUGCAACCUACCCAUAACAGGGGGAUAACACUGAGAAAUUGGUACUAAUACCCCAUAACACUUUGGAAGGCAUCUUCUGGAGUUGAAAGUUCAGGCGGUUAUGGAUGGGCAUGCGUUGUAUUAGCUAGAUGGCGGGGUAACGGCCCACCUAGGCUACGAUGCAUAGGGGUUCUGAGAGGAAGGUCCCCCACACUGGUACUGAGACACGGACCGGACUCCUACGGGAGGCAGCAGUGAGGAAUAUUGGUCAAUGGUCGAGAGACUGAACCAGCCAAGUCGCGUGAAGGAAGACGGUUUUAUGGAUUGUAAACUUCUUUAGUCGGGGAGCAAAAAGAGUGACGUGUGGGAUGAUGAGAGUACCUUACGAAUAAGCAUCGGCUAACUCCGUGCCAG
rnacentral:rRNA from 1 species